rnacentral:lncRNA from 1 species
AUAAACCAGUAACACAGUUUAUUAUCAUUAUCAAGUAUUAUGAACUGUACAUAAUUGUAUGUGCUACGCUUUUACACAACUGGCAGUGUAGUAGGUUUGUUUACACCAGCAUCACUACAAACACUUGAGUAAUGGGUUGCACUAGGACUUUAUGAUGGCUGCAUCACUAGAGGAUGGGAAUGUUUCAGCUCUGCUAUGAUCUUAUGGGCCACUCUCACAUAUGUGGCCCAUCAGUGACAGAAACAUCAUCAUGCAGCAGAAAGCUAUAUGUUGCAUUUCACAGAUAAGGAAACUGAGGCUCAGAGAGGAUAAGUAACUUGCCCAGCUCCCUCCCCAAGUUCAGGGACUGUGUCUGGUUGCUGUUACCUAGUCGUAGUACUCACAGCACUGCCUGUAUUAUUGAAGAGUGCUAUAUUGAAGGGUGUUAUUUGUUGAAUAAUUACAGGGACAAAGGACUCCAAAGCUGUGGUUUCUAUACCCGUUGUUCUCAACCUUGGCUGUGCAUUCACAUCACCUGGGAGGGUUUUUAAAAUCCCAGUUUUCAGGUGACACCCCCAGGCCAAAUAAAUUAACAUCUCUACUCCUCACAUGAUUCUGAGAUGCACCAAAACUGGAGAACUCUGGUCUAGAGAAGCACUUUUCAGAUUUCAGCUUGAACUAAAUCAGCUGGAGAACUUGUUAAAAUGCAGAUUCUGGCUCAAUGAGUCUUGAAUGGGCCCGAGAUUCCGCAUUUCUAAAAAACGUUCUAGUUGCCUCUAAAGUGCCUUUGCAAUACUGCAAUUAUUAUUUUCAGGAGGGCUCUUUCCCCCACAGCUAUGAUGAAGAUUCAGUUCAUAAUGUGUUCACAGGAGAGGUGGUAGUGCUUAGUAAUUAGGAGCGUAGAGACUAGGUGAGAUAUUCUGGCCUGGAAACCUGCUACUGCCACAUAAUAGCUAUUAAUAUAAAAUCUGGACAAUUUUCUAAACUGCCCUGUGCUUCAGUUUUCUUAUAUGUAAAUCAGAUAUAAAAGAGUACCUAUAAAUAAGUACUUAUAGAUAUUAAAUAUGUAGACACAUGCAAAAGACAGAACAGGGCCAGACAUGUUGUAAGUGCUCAGUAAGAGUGAGUUCAUUGUUAUUAUUCACUGAGUAUUUCUGAUCUUUCUUAAGCUGGAAAUGUCAAGGGCUCUGGAGCUUGACCACCUGGGUUCAAAUGCCACCUUCACUCAUGUUAACAGUGUGGCUUGGGCAACCGACUUUACCUCUCUGCACCUGUUUCUUCAAUGUGCAAAUGGAAAGAACAUCACCUGCCUCUUAGGUUGUUCUAAGGAUAAAUUAUAUGCAAUGCACUUAGAAUACGGCCAGACUAAAAGACUUGUUGCCACCUGAAUUGACUCUCCCUUAGCUAAGAGAGCUAGACAGAAUCCAUCUUGGCUCUUUCACUGGCAGCCCCUUCCUCAAGGACUUAACUUGUGCAAGCUGACUCCCAGCACAUCCAAGAAUGCAAUUAACUGAUAAGAUACUGUGGCAAGCUAUAUCCGCAAUUCCCAGGAAUUCGUCUGAUUGAUAACACCCAAAGCCUCCAGUCUAUGACCUUGUAAUAGUCUUAAAGCCCCUGCACCUGGAACUGUUUACCUUCCUGUAACCAUUUAUCCUUUUAACUUUUUGCCUACUUUAUAUCUGUAAAAUUGUUUUAACUAGAGCCCCCUCCCCUUUCUAAACCAAAUUAUAAAAGAAAAUCUAGCCCCUUCUUCCGGGCCGAGAGAAUUUUGAGCGUUAGCCGUCUCUGGGCCGCCGGCUAAAUAAACGGA